CUACAGCCAAUUAAGCUGUCCUGGUUCCUUUCCUCAUGCUGGCCCAGUGUGCAGUGGCUGCAAACAGCAGCCUCCUUGGGUAGUGUAGUAACCUGUUGUAUAUAUAUGUUGCCCAAAGGACCUUGGAGACAGUC
ensembl:snoRNA SNORA70 Small nucleolar RNA SNORA70